ensembl:lncRNA
AGACCAGUCUUCUGUGGCUGCAGGGCAGAGUCUGCUGACGGUGUCUCUGCUUAUCGGCGGCGUCAUGCGCGUGUAGGGUCGGACAUCCGAGUGAUACACCCUGAGAUAACCUCGUCACGUGAACUGCGCUGCAGAUUGGAUUAUGAAGGUGUCAAAUCUCUCCCUGAUGGUCACAAGCUAUUUUCUGAGAAUGUACUGCAUGGCUCUGCUGAAACUGGACCCUCAGAAUGGGAGUGGGAGAGCGAGUGGAGUGCUCAGGGGAGGUCACGUAGGUUUAUGGAAGGUCAGCGAGCCCACCUGAGAGUCCGACCCCAGCACUGAUCAAGCAGACAGAGAUGUACUUUGAUCAUGUGUCUUGAGGUGCCGUCCCAUCCGACAAGUUCUCAAGUUAUGUAAGCAUCCCAAGAGGGGGGUCCACCUCCUGGUCUGCUUCUGCAGCUCCACCUCCCAUCCUGACCCCCUGUCCCACCUCAGUCUUGUGACUGUGGGGAACAAAGACGGUGGUGGGCAUUUGAGCCAUGUGGAAGGUGACUCCUGGUGCCAGUGUUGGGUUUCAGGCUCGACCUACAAAGUGAGAAGCGGAGACCAUGCGCUGCCGCUGUCAGGAGUGAGAUAUAGGGGAAAAACGGAGACAAAGACAGUGACAGAGAGAGAGAUCGGAAAGAAGGGGGGGAGAGAGAAAGAGAAACGCCCUCACCGCUGCUAUGCAUGAUGGGCAUGAAUGCGUUUCACCAAAGAGCUUGAGUCUUCACCACCACUGACAGCCCACAAACCCAAACACUGAGGGAGCGCUUCACUUCUGGGACCAUGCUGGCUUCUGGCACGAAAUUCUGAGAUUUUAUUUAUUUCAAUUGGGUACAUAACUUGUUAUUAAAUGCUGGCUCUGAGCAAACAUGCUCACCACACAAGCUUGGGUUAGGGUGCUGUAGGGAUAAAGUCUUAACAAUUUGCAUUUGGUUGCACAAGUGGCGCCUUCAUCACCAGCUAGUACACUCUGCCACUUAAGUAUGCAGACGUCUUUUUACGUUUUACUUUAAAACCCUUAAAAGACAAUAGACACCUUAAUCAGUGAGGCAAGGGGGGGAAAAGUGACAUUUUUCCACCCAAUCUCUUGAAAAUUAUGUUCCUGUAUAAC